rnacentral:rRNA from 1 species
AGAGGGUGAUCGGCCACACUGGAACUGAGNCACGNUCCAGACUCCUACGGGGAGGCAGCAGUAGGGAAUCUUCCGCAAUGGGCGAAAGCCUGACGGAGCAACGCCGCGUGAGUGAUGAAGGUCUUCGGAUCGUAAAACUUCUGUUAUUAGGGAAGAACAUACGGANAAGAACUGUGCACCNCUUGACGNNNAANANAAGCCGCACNC